UCGCCCGCCUGGCAGACAUUAGUUAGCCGCGCGUCCAUCAGAGCGCGCGUAGCCGCAUGCCGCGUUGCUGAGCGAUUCGUACGCGCGCCGCAUCGUGUCAGCCAGCCAGCCGUCUGGUUCGCCGCUACGUCGACGUGCUGUUUGUCACCGUCGUCUCGUCGUUCGCAAUAUCGUCCCGGCAUUCACAUAAGGAACGGAGUGCCAGAUCUAACGCGGAUCAUCUCGCGAACGGGAUCAUCUCGUGCGCGCCACCAUGGAUCACAUAGGCCUGCUGUUGCAGCAUUCGCAAUACGUGUACGCGAUUCCCGUGGGUAUCGUGCUGAUAUGCGCCAUGCUCGUGUUCGCCUUCGGCUUCAAGAAGGCCGAACAGCCGCCGUUCGCGCAGCUCUCCGCGGGCUCCGACGUGGACCGGAAGCUCGCCAAGAAGCGCGGCAAGCUCCGCGAGAAGAAAGCUGCUAAUGGACAAGUUACGUCUGAGAAAACAAGUCCUGUUAAGAAGACAUUAGCAGCGAAAGCUGAAGCUCCUAAGAAGACUGCAAAAGGAGACGAUGUUGAUGGUAAGUUGAAAGAGCGUAAACAAGAAGAUAACAAGAUUGUCGCUAUUAAGAAAGAAAAGGAGCAAUCUUCAGCUAAAGUUGGCAAAGAAAAUAAAAUGGAACAGGCAAAGAAUAAGAAAAAUUUGAAGAACUUGUUCCAGGAAAAACCAGUGGACUUUGACGAUGGAGAUUGGGAGCAAGCUUAUUCGCGCAAGGAUAAGAAGAAUAAAAAAAAGGAGGAGGAAUCUCCUUCAAAAAAGAAUAAGAAAGCAUCUAAGAAGGCUGAUCUAAUAAACGAGGCUAAGCAGAAAGAACAAGAGAAACCCGAGGUCAAAGAUAAGACUGCUAAGGAAACCGAAAAUAAAGAGCUCAAGGAAAAGGAGAAGAAAGAAGUGAUUCUUACGUCUAUUUCCAAUGAAGAGAUUGAUAAAACUAAGGAACCGCAAAAAGAAGAACAGAGCAAGGUCGAGAAAGUUGAAAAAGAAGAAAAGAAAUCUGGAAAGUCGAAAAAGAACAAGAAACUUUCUGAGGGCGAGAAUACACCUGCUUCGGUACCAUCCACUCCAAAGACAGAUAAUAAGCCCAUCGUGGAAGAGCCGCAGAAGAAGCCGGUCAACAUGGAGAAGGUAGCUAAUAAUGUGGAAGAGAAUAAAGUGGUGGAAAAUAAGGAAAAAACCGCUGUGUUCGAUGAAUUAGGAGACGUCUGGACAGAAGCAAAGUCUCAGAAAAAGAGUAAAAAAAAGGCACGUAAAGAUAACUGAGGAUGAUUAUGCGUAAUGCUAAUGAUGUUGUUCCUUUCGAAAAGGAAUAGAGUGAGAAUUCUAUUCGGUCCAAAGGACGUUUGUCGCUAUCGACAAAUCAGACGCUGAGCUGUAUAAAGCAAGCACAAGAGUUAUAUAUUAGCGAUAUCGGAAAAAAAAUUCAAAUUUCUCUCAGAGAGUGUCUAGCUUAUAUUUUAUCAGAAAUAUAGAGAAAGAAUGUGAAUAUAUAUAUAUAUAAGAAAUUACGUGAGCGAAUUGAUGUGAAUGAGCAGAUUAUUAUCGUUGUUGUGUGUGACAUUUUAUUCUAAAUAAUUUACGAAUUAAGAGGUAUUUGUUAAAAAUUGCAUAAAAUUACAUGUAUCAAUAAUUUUAAGGGAAAAGAGGGAGAGAGUGAGAUGAUUUGCGAUGUAUGACAAUAGUGUGAUAAGAGUACUAUAUCUGCUUGUAUGUUGCAAACUAAAUGAAUCACUCGUAGCUUUUAUUGUGUAAAAGGGGAUCUUGGGGAGGAAAAUACCUAUCCUGUUUUAAAUAGCCAUUCAUAUUUUGUAUACGGGACAUUAAUAUAUUCGCAUAAGUAUACACGCGCAUACGAGAUCAUCGUGUAAGUAAAAUUCCAGCAUUACUUUCGCGAAAGAUUCACAUGGUGAUGAAUCCGUUGCAUGGAAUUUACAGAAAGAAAGAAGUUUAAGAUAAUUUAUAGAAUAUACCGAGCGAGCUUGAAUUACAAACCAGCAAGAACUAUUAUCAUGCAUAAAUCAAACCGCUUGUGUCGAUUGUAUAUACCCCCGUGCCAAAAGCCAGCAUUAUCUCCUCUGGAUCAUGUUCAAGGCUGAAUUUCGUACAAUAAUCCGUGGUAUCAAGGAAACAACAAUCCAGAGUAUCAAAGAAAAUUUUAGCGAUGCUAUUUAUAGCCAUUCUGUACGUUUAGGUCUUUCAUGAUCGAUAAUCACAAGACUGCAUGAAUUUCCUUUCAUCAUGACACACAUCGCUUGACUCUUUGCGGCAUUGUAAUCAUCGAAGAAUGUCAAUUUAACAAUAAUUAGCGAUCUGAAUAGCUGACCGAGUAGUUAAUUUACAAUAGAAUUAAGUUCUUUUCUUCAAAACCGCUAUGAAAUUAUUUUUCAAGUCUCUCUCUCUGUGCAAUAGAACUAUAUAUGUACGUGAUUUCGUGUAUCGCAAAGAGCUGAAGCGGCAGGUAAAGAAAUAUCUUUACGAGCAGUAUCGAUUUGGAUUUCAGUACGGGAAAAUUAUUAUUAUUAUUAUAAAAUAUCAAAUUUCAUACUUUAAGAAUACACUGAAGAAUAAAUUUUGCUUUGUUAUCUAAAGAUAAGUAUGAAUAUACGACGGGAUUGGGCGUAACAUCAACAACGUUGAUGACUUGUGAAAAAGUAGUACACUCAUGAAGCUAAAGAAUGAUUUAAUACUGUUUAAUAAUGAUCCAACCGUUAGUCUAAUGAAUUAGUUAGCGGAGUACUUACACUCGCAUGGGGAAAAAAAGUGAAGUGGAGAUUCUUGGAAGGGUGACUUUCGAAUUGCGAGGAAGAAAUAGCAUAUUUUUCUAAGUAUUGUCCCAAAUCGCCACGUCGCCUACGUCGCGCGAUAUUCGCGACGAGCCGUAGUAUUUAGCGAAACGUACUGAUUGUACAUCGCGCAUUUCGAAUUCGCGACAGAAGUGGGGAACGUUCGUUCAUCACAGGGUUCUGCGACGAACACAGCGGAGAGAGCGGAGAGAGGCGAGGAUAUUUGCAUGAGAACGAGAGACGGGGAAGGCGAAUCGAAGGCGAAAUUGUAAAAUCAGAGAUAUGUUAUAUUGCCACUGUACAUAUGUAUAUUAACGAAUAAUGUCUUUAUUAAAUGUGCAAUGUUGCGUUGUACCGGGAUGGACUCUGCAGGGGCAGGGGCCUAGCGAUCAGAUUUUUACGGAUAUUUUUGAAGGAUCGAUCAGCGUCCGACGAUACGUCCGACGAUACGUGUAUGACCUGCUUGAAGAUGACACGGGUCAAAUUUCGUGAAUUUCAAAUGGAUUUGAUCGACGGGAUUUGCGGACGAGUCAGGGACACUACAAGAUGUAGAAUUGUAUAGUUUUGUAAAGGAUUCUCUCUCAAGAAUUUGACUAGUUUCAUUUUCAAAAUGGGCCAGCGCCGAUAUCUCCGAUUGUUACAAAUCCAUAGUAUGCCGUGCAUUUUUAAGGCUGAUUAAUAUGUCUCUCGGUAUGGUCCACAUGUUGAAGCAGCGAACCGCGAACUUAUCUCUCCGAUGCAUCGAAAAUAAUGACAGCGCAAUUACUUGGCCUACUUUGGACGCGUGACACGAUAUAGCUUGUAGUUUUACGACUAUACGGCACACACGAGGACUCUGAUCGCACUCGAAAUAUCGACUGUAACAUAAAGAUAAGAUAA